rnacentral:rRNA from 1 species
UCUACGGGAGGCAGCAGUGGGGAAUUUUGGACAAUGGGCGCAAGCCUGAUCCAGCCAUGCCGCGUGAGUGAAGAAGGCCUUCGGGUUGUAAAGCUCUUUCGCAAGGAAAGAAAACUUACAUGUAAAUAAUGUGUGAGGUUGACGGUACCUUGAUAAGAAGCACCGGCUAACUACGUGCCAGCAGCCGCGGUAAUACGUAGGGUGCAAGCGUUAAUCGGAAUUACUGGGCGUAAAGCGAGCGCAGGCGGUUUUGUAAGUCAGAUGUGAAAGCCCCGGGCUCAACCUGGGAACUGCGUUUGAAACUACAAGGCUAGAGUAUGGGAGAGGGGGGUAGAAUUCCACGUGUAGCAGUGAAAUGCGUAGAGAUGUGGAGGAAUACCAAUGGCGAAGGCAGCCCCCUGGCCUAAUACUGACGCUCAGGCUCGAAAGCGUGGGGAGCAAACAGGAUUAGAUACCCUGGUAGUCCACGCCCUAAACGAUGUCAACUAGUUGUUGGGAGAGUAAAAUCUCUUAGUAACGCAGCUAACGCGUGAAGUUGACCGCCUGGGGAGUACGGUCGCAAGAUUAAAACUCAAAGGAAUUGACGGA